GGACGAACGCUGGCGGCGUGCCUAAUACAUGCACGUCGAGCGAAGUUUUUCUGGUGCUUGCCCCGGAAAAACUUAGCGGCGAACGGGUGAGUAACACGUAAAGAACCUGCCUCAUAGACUGGGACAACUAUUGGAAACGAUAGCUAAUACCGGAUAACAGCAUUAACUGCAUGGUUGAUGUUUAAAAGUUGGUUUUGCUAACACUAUGAGAUGGCUUUGCGGUGCAUUAGCUAGUUGGUGGGGUAAAGGCCUACCAAGGCGACGAUGCAUAGCCGACCUGAGAGGGUGAUCGGCCGCACUGGGACUGAGACACGGCCCAGACUCCUACGGGAGGCAGCAGUAGGGAAUCUUCCGCAAUGGGCGAAAGCCUGACGGAGCAACGCCGCGUGAGUGAAGAAGGAUUUCGGUUCGUAAAGCUCUGUUGUUAGGGAAGAAGGAUUGUGUAGUAACUAUACACAGUAGAGACGGUACCUAACCAGAAAGCCACGGCUAACUACGUG
rnacentral:rRNA from 1 species